CAACAGCAGACAGAGGCCAAAUUACAGCAACACUAGGAAAUAACGUCUACAAAGAUCAAGAGUUCCACCGACACUAGACCAGAAGUGAGCAAUGUGGAGUCCAGUCCGAUGUGACUGAGCCAAAGGACUUAAAGUUUUGAGGCCAGGAGAUAGGAGUAAAGAGGCACCUUGCAGCCUCUGUGAUGUGUAUUUGGUAUUACACCUUUACCACGUACAUUAUUAUUCCAAGCUCUCAAAAGAAUCCUCAACACAAACCCAGGAAACAGGUGCAGUCUUUAUUUUGCAAAUGAGGAGACUGAAGCACAAAGAGGGUGUGGCUUUCAGCCCUUGCUGUUCUUGUACUGAUCACUUGCCAUACAGGCAUAUCAGGCAGGACAUAGAACCUAGAGGCCACUGAGACCAGUAGCCGGGAGGAGAAAUAUAUAUUUUAAAAUGCACGGAAGACACAGAGAAGAAAACAAGGCUACCCAAAUCUGACGAUGCAGCCUCUUCUGGGAAGCAUGAUUUGUCUCCAAGACUGACCUCCUUCCAGUGCGUGUCCUUGGUGUGUGGACCACCAUCCAAGUAUUUAUUGAGAAGACACUAUGUCUUAGGCCCUUUGCCUGGUGUUGAAAAUGCAGCUGGGAUCAAGACAGACACAUCACUUUAUGAGAUGGGAGAAAACAACCAUUUCCACUGGAGUCAGGUAAAGACUGCAGUUUUUCUGCCAAGAAAAGAAAAGAUUACAGAGGGAAAAAAAAGAAGACAGGAGGAUCCUUUGUUCUUGAAAAGAGACUUGAGAAAUUACUGCCUCACAACAUCACACAGCUGUUUUAAACAACAUCUGAUGGAAUUGUUGCUGGUUGUAUUAAAAAAUAAUUGAGGAGGUUUUUCCCUUUUUUGUGUAAAAGUGAUCCUAUUUCUUCUAUAAAUGUUUAAGAGAAUUUAUGGCAAAGCCAUCUUAUUCUGACAUUUCUUUGUGAAAAUAUGUUUUUUUUGUAGAUUUAGCAGCUUUAAUAGAGAUAGGACUGUUUAGCUUUUCUAUUUCUUCUUAUAUAAGGUUUACUAAAUUGUGUUUCUCAAAAGAUUUGUCCAUUUUAUCUGAAUAGUCAAAUCAUUGCUUUAAGUUUUUCUAAACAUAUUUUAAUUAUAUUUUUAACGUCUAAAGGCUAUGGAGUAAUAUCCGCAUUGCUACUUUAAUGGUUUGUGUUUAUUCUUCAUUUUUUCUUUUGAUCUGUUUUGUAGGAUUUCAUUAAUUUUAUUAGUCUUUCAAAUACCCAACUUUUUGCUUCUUUGAUUUCUCUAUUUGUACUUUUUUUUUCUGCCAUCUUCAUCUUCUCUGUAUUAUUUAUGUUUUAUUUGCUAAUCUUUAUUUAGCUUCUUGAAACAGGUACUCAGGUCAUUGACUUAUAAACUUUCUUUCCUAUAACAUGCCUUUAAAAUUUCCUUUUCAUCACAGCUUUAGCUGCAAUCUAAGAUUUACUAUAUCAUAUUUGUAUUAUCAUUAAAUUAAAAAUAUUUUCUGAUUUCCACUUUAAGUAUUUCCUUGUAAAUUAUAGAAGGGAAUUAAUUUCUAAACAAUGAGAGAUUUUCUUUUUAAAAAAUAAUUUUAUUGAAGUAUAAUUGAUAUACAAAAAGGUCAUAUUUAAUGUAAAAAAUUUGGUAAGUUUGUAUCUAUGCACUAUCACACACCCAUGAAACCCUCAUCACCUUCAAGGUUAUAAAUGUAUCCAUCGCCUCCAAAAUUUUCCUGUGUUCUUUGUUUUUUGUUGUUGCUGUUCUUUUGUUUUUGUGGUUAAGAACACAACAUCAGAUCUACACUCUUAACAAAUAUUUAAGUGUAUAAUACUUAAGUGUUAACUGUAGAAUAUAUUUGUUCUCAA
rnacentral:lncRNA from 1 species